AUAACUUGACAUUUUGAGCGGCCUCAAAUUUUAUUCUUAAGACAUCGACUGACUUACACAGACUAAUUGCUUCAAACACACCAAAAUACAUUGAAAGUAUAGAACAAACACCGAAAAAUUCCCGUCGACGUGUUGGGUAAUUUAUUCAUAUCAUCUCUUCAACCUUCAUUUUUAACCCAAAAAUCGCUUUGUAUAAGCUUCAACAAUUAGCUUGGGAUCAGCUUUUGUUUGCUUGUAUGCAUCAAUCUUAUUGAGCUCCUCA
rnacentral:misc_RNA from 1 species